AGACUUUGUGAUGUGGAGACAGAGACACCGGCUAUCUGAGAAGAUGGAUUAUUCCAAGUGCCUUGAAUAGUCCUGGAAACACCAGAGACGCCUCAGAAUUGUUAAUUUUAUUCUGCCUUCUCUAGACUGAAAAGAGUACUGGGCAGAUUUUAGCAAUCAUGGAGCACCGUGACAACUGUUCUCAUUCUAAGAAUCGUGGCCAGCACUACUACACUAAAAGGUUAAAAAUGUGACACAGGAACAGAGCCAGGGACCCAUAAGUCACUGCAUUGACAAGGACACCCGAAGAGUCUGCCUUGGGAAACCAACAUGAGGAAAAGGCAAGGAAAAGGCAUGAGAGAGAAUGAGACUGUGAGAAAACAGUAAUAUGAAGAGUCGUAAAUAAUAGUAACAACCAACUACAUAUGUCCUAAUACAGCGGCACCCAAGAUCUAUUUUAAAAAUAACCCUGGAUGUCCCUACAAGGUUCUGUUUCACACACUGUUUACCAAGUUCUCAUUCAUUUGAAGUACAGCAACGGAGCCAUUGCUGAAAAACCAAAAGGAGCUCAAUUCCCACCUUCUAGAAGCCUGUGUUCUACAGUGCAGACAGAUUUCAGACAGAGCGCAGCUGGAGCAUGCUCAGUGAUAGCACAGUCAUGGGCAGCCAAAAAGAGGCAGGCCAGCAGGUGUUUGCUCCGGGGUACAGCACCCUGCCACCAAGACAUUCUUAGAAAACGUGUCACCUUUUCAAUUUUAUGUAAGCACAAAAAUAGUCAAAGCUAGUUUCAUUCAUUUCUGUUGUAGUGGGUGGGUCUGGAAGUCCCCUCCUGAACAGUCAGGUCGGCCCUAAAAUGACUUUGACUUUCCCUUCUAUUGCUUGUUCCCGGCGACAGUCAUUGUACAGAAACCAGCAGUAAGCAAGUCAGGAAGAAAUAAGGAAAGACACAUCAUUCAUGUGCUGUUUUUUUCUAGCUACAUUCUGCCCAAUAAUGAUUCUUCACGCAAAAACAAAAACAAAAAAAAAUGCAUUCCUCUUUCUGGGUGACCUCCUAGGUUUGGACACAGAGUGAACAAUGCAUUCUAUGUUGCUAUUUCUAUAUGCCUCUAGUGCCUAGAACAGAGAUCUGCUCAGACAAGCUUGUUGACAAAAUGCUUGAAGGUGUCAAAGCCUCCCAGAGACGGGUGUUAUUGCAAACUAUCUUCUUAUGGAUUUCAGAAAGAAAUCAAGAGAACUGAUUAAACAGCCAUUGCAUUUUGCUGCAGAAUCACCUCCCGGAGAAUCAGUGGGAAGUAAAUUACAGGAAGGAAACCUGCGGGGAAAGUUAUUCUUGAUUAGACCUCCCUUUCACUGACCGCUCAAAGGGAAGCCCAGUGCUCAGCAGUGGCACAUUUUGACACAGAACACAAGAACCACGUGAAUUGGAGCUGAAGGCAAAAUAACCAGUUACAGUCAUGGAUUGGGAUUCCAUUUCAGCAUGGACAGGAAGAGAAGAAGGGUUGAUUCAUAAGCCAAUAUUUCAGAAAUGAAACACAAACUCAGAAUAUUGGAGAAGACUGCUUUCCAAACAGGAAAGCCCUGUCAGUGUACUACCUGUGAUAGCUUCUUGAAAAUAAAAUGAUCACUUGCUUUCUAAUCACUUCAAACACAAA